rnacentral:rRNA from 1 species
AGGUGGAAGUGCAGUAAUGUAUGGAGCUGACGAAUACUAAUCGAUCGAAGACUUAAUCAAUUU